UUUCACUGCCUUGCAAAAAGCUCAGAUUUGAUCUGGUGCAAGCCAAGGAAGGGGUGCCAGGCAUUGCUAUUUGUCUGUGAAGUCUGACAACAAAAACUCAGAGAUACUUGUGGGGACAGAAUGAUGCAAAGAGACACGCGUGCAUCCACGCUGCACCACGGAGGAGUGCUGAGAAAAGGGAGAACAGAUGGAGCAGCAGGUAAAUCAGGAAGAAAGAAUCCCUGGGAUAUAGCCCUUCAGGAAGUGCUCAAUGGGGAGAGGCAAUGGGCUGUAGUGGAGACUG